GAUGAACGCUAGCGGGAGGCCUAACACAUGCAAGCCGAGCGGUAGAGCUUCUUCGGCAUCUUGAUAGCGGCGCACGGGUGCGUAACACGUGUGCAACCUACCUUUAUCUGGGGGAUAGCCUUUCGAAAGGAAGAUUAAUACCCCAUAUUAUAAUUAUUGGCAUCAAUUAUUAUUGAAAACUCUGGUGGAUAGAGAUGGGCACGCGCGAGAUUAGAUAGUUGGUGAGGUAACGGCUCACCAAGCCAAUGAUCUUUAGGUGUCCUGAGAGGGAGAUCCACCAGACUGGAACUGAGACACGGACCAGACUGCGACGGGAGGCAGCAGUGUAGUAGAUUAGACGAUGGAUGAGAGCCUGAUCCAGCCAUGCCGGGUGAAGAAUGACGGUGCUAUGGAUUGUAAACUUCUGUUGUACAAGGACAAAACUACCCUCGUGAGGGUAGCUGAAGGUACUGUAAGAAUAAGCACCGGCUAACUCCGUG
rnacentral:rRNA from 1 species